rnacentral:rRNA from 1 species
GGAAGUAAAAGUCGUAACAAGGUCUCCGUAGGUGAACUGCGGAGGGAUCAUUAACGAAUGGCCUUUGGCCUUUCGACCUUGUAAACCCGUGGAAGGAAGAUUGCUUAGGUGCUUUUGGCGCCUUGUUUAUGCCGUAAGGUAUUGGUCUGAAUCAAACAUAAUUUAAAACUUUCAACAAAGGAUCUCUUGGCUCUCGCAUCGAUGAAGAACGCAGCGAAGCGCGAAAUGUAGUGUGAAUCGCAGAAAAUUGUGAAUCAUCGAAUCUUUGAACGCACAUUGCGCCUCCUUUCCGGGAGGCAUGCCUGUCUGAGCGUCGUUUAAACCGUAGCACCCACAGAGGGUCUGUCUUGGGCAUCGCCUUUGGGCGUAGCCUCGAAGCGAUCGGUCUGAAGAGCGGAUGAAAUCCAUUAGGACGGACCGUUCUGCGACCUUAAACUUUGGAUUUGACCUCAGAUCAGGUAGGACUACCGCCUGAACUUAAGCAUAUCAAUAAGGCGAGGAACAGAAACCAACAGGGAUUCCCUUAGUAGUGGCGAAUGAAUCGGGAAAAGCUCAAGUUUGAAAUCCGAAGUUUACCUCGGAGUUGUAAGCUGAAGAGGCGUCGAUCGAUCCGGUCCGGGCUCAAUUUUCCUUGGAACAGGAGGUCAUGGAGGGUGAGAACCCCGUCUGUGGCUCGGGUGCCGUGGUCCUUGUGUCGUGCCCUCGAAGAGUCGGGUUGUUUGGGAAUGCAGCUCAAAAUGGGUGGUAAAUUUCAUCUAAAGCUAAAUAUUGGCGAGAGACCGAUAGCAAACAAGUAGAGUGAUCGAAAGAUGAAAAG